UCCAGAAACCAGGUGGAAGAUGAAGACAGACCCUUGGCGGCCGGCGCGCGCUCGAGGAUCGAGAAUCCAACCCACAAUUCCAUUCCACAUUGAGUCUAGCAGUGGAUUGUCUUCUAAUUCAAUGAUCAGAUCACAACACCCGAGAACCCUUCCUUGGCCUGCCAACUUCUGAGGCUGGCGUCAAGUACGUCAAGUACUCAGCAAGGCCUGUGGGGCUUUUGCUUCUGCAACCUGUCUCACACAGCUCCAGGGCUUUGAGUGGGAGUUGCUGGGCUUUCCUGAGAUUCCAGCCAUCAAACUCAUCUCUUCAAUCUUCACUUAAGCUGUUACAUCUGCACCAGUGCUCUUCUCCUUCUUUUUGACCAGUUACUCAUCUAUUCUUUAGUGCUCAGGUUACACAUGUGAUUUCCCCAGGGUGGCCCACUCUGCUCUUCAGACCAUGUGGUGGUGAGCCAUUGAAGAUUUCUGAACUGAGGAGCACUUAUUGAGAGCUGUCAGAGCUAUAUUUUCAGACUGAGGCCCAGAUCCAUUUAUUAGGAAUGCUGUAGAUGGGAUUCUUGUCCUGGCAUGGAGAGUUGAUCUGAUGAAUUCCACAUUCCAUCCUGGCUUUGAGACUGGAUGACUGCAGGAAUGGCAUCCCAUUUGAAGGACAGGCACUUGGACCCAGCUCUCUCAUCUAUACCAUGGUUGGGGGCAGUGACCAGACAGAGAUCAGCCCUGUGGGAGGGGUCGUCCCCAGGAAACCUUCUUCAAAGCCCUCCUUUAGCUUCCAAAGGCUUUUUCAGAGAGGCAGCUAUUAGGUUUGGAGAAGGCCCAAAGUCAAUACAAUAAUGACUUCCCUUUCAGGCCAUACUGCAGGCCCCUCACUGUCAUUCAGUAAUUGGCUAAUAAAGCUAACUUUGAUGUGAAGGCAAUCCUAUUAAGAAGUCCCUGAGAUGUCACAACACCCUGAUAUCCAUUGCUAGGAGAAAAUAAACUUGAACAUAUAUUAGAGUGGUAUGCUGAAUGGGGUCACCCACUCCUGUGUUCCCAGUCUGGGGUCAGUUGAAGCUAAGGGCAAGGAGAGAGGAGAGGAAGAGGAGAAAUCCCAUGGAGGGAAUAUGAUCAAAGCCCUAGCCAGUCCCAGAGAGAGCCCACUGGCAUGGCAUGGGUGCCCCCUUCUUUAACCUGACAGGCCAACCUCACCCCUGGCAGUGCUCCUGUGGGUAGCUGGGAAACCACAGCAUCUAGUUACUGUUGUCACCAUUCUGGUAGCUGUGGUGAUCAUGAUGGUGCCUCUGUAUCCCACAGUGCUAUGUAACUUUUAAUUGUUAUUCUUACAGAGAUCACUGCAGAGCCUCCCUAUUGCCAUGGCUGCUAUUGCUGUUGGGAACAAUGGUGCAGCUGAACACAGCUGCCUUCCAGGUCCAAUGAUCUACCACCUCAGAGUGAUACCAUGAUGGCAAACAGGCAGCCAGUCUCUCCCUUGUGGGCCAUGGUGUGCCAGGGAUUUGUCUGACUUUGGGAGCUGGAGCUCUGAGCAAUGAUAGAAAGGCCCUAGUUCCAUCUUGAGCCACCCAAUUUUUCAGCAAGAAGGGAGUUCAGAAGAUUUGUCUAUGCCCUGGCUCUGGUCAGGAGGCUUUCAAUAUAUUCCUGUGAAUCACCACAUCCAAAAUCCUAAGGCAUUCUGGACGUGACUGGAGGCCGUAUUCCUCCCUGACUUGGGGUGGCUAUACCUAGAACUCAAUAGCAGUACUGAGAAGAGGUUUUCAUUUUCAGUGAGGAACUGCAUGGACCAAGAAGCUUAGAUGAGCAGUUAGGACAGGGCUGGGUAUGACUUUAACCUGGAUCAUGCCCAGUGUAGAAAGAGGAAAAAGGGAAGGGACUUAGAAAGAAGAAGAAGAUACUCAACCUCCCACCUACACUCUCUUCUUUUCAAUGGUGCCUUUAGAUCCAGGAUGAGGGGGUGUUGUGGUCAAAAUAAUUAUCAGGAUGGACUACCUUAUAAAGAAACCUGAUUUUUUUGAGAGCCAUAUGGAAGCUGAGAAAUGGAAUUUGUUGUAAGGGAGACCAGAAUUUCUGGGUCAGCCCAAACCCAGUAGAGAAGGCAGCCCUGGGAGCAUAGAGAUGAGCCUGCACAUCCUUCUCUAGGGGAUUAUGGAUCUUAAUUAACUUCUUUGGGUUUCAGAUCUUUUUAGGAUCUGAUGAAACUAUGUCCCUCUGCCCUGCAAACAGCACACACACACGAAGACAGGGUUUACACGGCAACCUGCAGAAGCCCAGCUGGGGCCCUGAAAAGGGAGUCCUUCAAGAAGCAGGUAGCUCUGAACCCAGCUCCCUGUGAUCCAGUCUAAUGAGGGUUGUUAGUGAUGUGGAGGAUCUGGAAUGAGGAAAAUGAAAACCAGAUUUCUAUAAUGUGAAGUAGAAAGAAAACAAGCAUGAUGUAUAUACAUUGCAUUACAAUUCUGUAAAAAAAAUGCACCUAUAAAAUGAAGGCAACAUGGAUAAAUGAAAAUAAUUUGUGGGUAAAGUUUUUUAUUUUAAGAUUUAUUUCAAUAUCAUUGUGAGAUUAUUGUAAUAGUAGAUUUAAUUUUUCUAUAUUAUGUAAAGUGGUUUUCCUCCAGAAAUCAGCCUCUGAAUUAUAUUUAAUUUAGAUUAAUAUGAAUGCCCUGCAAUCCUUGAGCACUUGUUUGUGAGGAGACAUGUUCCAGGAGGGUGUCAAGUGGCCUUGAAAUGACAUACAAAGAAUAGACAGUGCCCAGGCAGGUCACUGAAUUUUGAGAAACCUCAGGAGGAAGUUGAGCAAGUAGAGGGUAUAUGAUUUGAAGUCAGGAGUCCAAGGAUUUUGUCUUGGAUCUGCUAUUACUAACUGUGGAUAAGAAGUGUGACCAACUGUCCCAUUUUUGCCUGGGUCUGAGGGGCUUUCCAGGACAUGGGACUUCCGUGCUGGAACUGGUAAAGUUCUGGCCAACCAGAACGAAUUGGUCACCCUAUUAAUGAGCCACUUUAAGCUCUCUAUGCCUCAGUUUUCUCAUUUGUAAAAUGGUGUUGAUGACUUCCAGGAUGUUUGUAAAAGUACUUUGUAAACUCUACCAUCUUUACACCUGUUGGGGAUAAUGAUUACUAUUGGUGGGGUGGGACAGAGGAGGGGGGCAUAGGGGAAGGGGUGUUCUCCCCAGCCUUGAGACCUGAGAGACGAAGAUCCUGUUCAGAUGCACAUCAUGAUUUAGAUAUGGGGAGCUUAACCACUCUCAUAUAACAGGCUUUUAGCAAUAGUUCAACAAAUAUUUGACCAGAUGCCAUGCCAGGCAUUGGAAUAAAGCCAUGAAUUAAUUACUGAGACAUGCUCCCUUCUUUCCUGGUGCCAAAGUCUAAUAGGGAAGAAAGGAUCUAUCAGGAAGUGGGAUAAAGGGAAAUCUAGAUGUCAGUAGGAACUUCCUGUGUGUGGGGACGCUUCUAAUCUAGGAGGUAAGGAAGGGUCAGGGUGACGUUCCUAUAGAGGUGAGAUGAGCCCCGAGGGAUGAGGGCUGGCUAGCCAGGGAUGUCAUGUAGAGAAAUUAGGCAGAAGGAAAAGCAACAAAAAGGCCCGGGGAACUGGAUGUAUCAAAAAUUGAGUAAGACUGUCUGGUGCAGUACAUGAGCAGAGGGAGAGAGGGGCCGGGGAGGUUUGUGCCAGGUUGUGAGGGCCUUGCAUGAUGUUAGGGAAUGUGGACUUAAUCCUGGAGGCACUGAGGAGGCCAGGAUGUUUCACACCUGGCAACUCAACAGCCCCAACCCUUACUAUGCUAAGAUGGUAUUCCUGGGUCUGGUACCAGGUUUAGCCUAUUAUGGUCAUGUCCUCUGGACCUGAAGGUGCCAGCUCUGUCUGUCCUGCUCCCAGGGUCUCUCAGCCUGGCUCAUUGCUGAGCACUUCUGUGGCUCCAAGCUUAUUAUAGUCAAUCCAAACCUUCCCCUGGCAGGGGCCUUGCUGCCUGGCACAGACUGUGCCUAUAGAGAGCAGAGUGGCACCCCUCUCCCCACCCUUCCAAGCAUGCUUCUAUCACCACAAUGUGUGUGUGGGCUUCAUGGCUGCAUGGCAAUGAACUCAGGGCAUCCCAGGCAGCUAAUAUGUAAUGAACAAUUACAUCAAUCAGUCCAGGUACAGGGAGGUGGGUAUACACCCAUUUACAUAUAUUUGUACACAUACACAUGUGUCCACACAGAUUCACUGACAUUUAUGUUCACACUUUCACUGAAACUCAGGCAAGCGCAUGGAGAGAUUCCCUGCUACCUGCAUGUGAUGAAUGAGUACACACUCUAUUAAUGCCUGUUCACCCAAGUGGUCCCAUACCCCUAUAUUUAAGUGUUUAGCAAAUCACCUGGCACAUAGAUUAUUAUAUUAUUAUUUUUAACCUGAUACUAUAUUAAAAUGCUGAAAUGGGUGCCCAUGUACCAAUAUAGAUUCAUAUACAUUGCCCCAUAUGCUCCUUUGAAGGCAGGUACAAACACAAAAUCUCUAUCCUUCUGUGAAACUGUGUGUGUACUUUUGUGUACACCAACAAACUCACUCUCAUAAACAUAGAGAAUGUCACAAUUUGCUCUUCCAGUUUUAUCUAUACACAAUCACAACAAUAAUAAUAAUAAUAGCGAAUCCAGGUUGGGGGAUUGCUUUAUAUUUUUCAAAGGGCUUUCAGGACUAAAACCCAUUUGAUCCUCAUAGCAUUCCAGUGAGGUAGGUAGGUGUAGCAGAUCUACUGAAGAGGUUAAGUAUGCCAUUUGGGAGGUGGCCUAGAACCUAGAUCUGACUUCCCCAUGUGAAUAUCCCAUGGCCCAUGCCUGUUUGACAACUUAUAGCUCUCACAUUGGAAAGCAGGGACAAGGACAGGGACCUGCUAUUAGGUUCUGGAUCUCAAGUGAAAACAUAAU